rnacentral:rRNA from 1 species
CCUACGGGUGGCAGCAGUGAGGAAUAUUGGUCAAUGGGCGGAAGCCUGAACCAGCCAAGCAGCGUGCAGGAUGAAGGUACAGCGUAUCGUAAACCUCUUUUGUCAGGGAACAAAGGCGGUUACUAGUCCCCGGAUGAGGGUACCUGAAGAAAAAGCAUCGGCUAACUCCGUGUCAGCAGCCGCGGUAAUACGGAGGAUGCGGGCGUUAUCCGGAUUUAUUGGGUUUAAAGGGUGCGCAGGCCGCCUGUUAAGUGAGCGGUGAAAUGCCCGGGCUCAACCCCGGCGGAGCAGUGAAAACUGGCGGGCUGGAGUUGGCGGGAAGCACGCGGAAUGCGUGGUGUAGCGGUGAAAUGCUUAGAUAUCGCGCAGAACCCCGAUUGCGAAGGCAGCGUACCGGAUCGAAACUGACGCUGAGGCACGAAAGCGUGGGUAUCGAACAGGAUUAGAUACCCUUGUAGUC